rnacentral:rRNA from 1 species
CUUGACAAAAUAUAAGAGGUCCAGCCUGCCCAGUGACUCUGUUUAACGGCCGCGGUAUCCUAACCGUGCGAAGGUAGCGUAAUCACUUGUUCUUUAAAUGAGGACUAGUAUGAAUGGCAUCACGAGGGUUAUACUGUCUCCCUUUUCUAAUCAGUGAAACUAAUCUUCCCGUGAAGAAGCGGGAAUAAAGCUAUAAGACGAGAAGACCCUAUGGAGCUUUAAACAAAAUAACAAUUGCUACUAUCAUUAUCUAUUUCAGAAAUUUAAAUUUUAUCUUAGCAUUAUGAUUAUUAGUUUUAGGUUGGGGUGACCGCGGAGUAAAAAUUAACCUCCACAUUGAAAGGAUAAUUUCCUAAGCAAGAAGUUACGACUUUAUGCAUCAACAAAUUGACAUUAAUUGACCCAAUAUUUUGAUCAACGAAC